GAUGAACGCUGGCGGCGUGCCUAAUACAUGCAAGUCGAGCGAACAGACGAGGAGCUUGCUCCUCUGACGUUAGCGGCGGACGGGUGAGUAACACGUGGAUAACCUACCUAUAAUACUGGGAUAACUUCGGGAAACCGGAGCUAAUACCGGAUAAUAUAUUGAACCGCAUGGUUCAAUAGUGAAAGACGGUUUUGCUGUCACUUAUAGCUGGAUCCGCGCCGCAUUAGCUAGUUGGUAAGGUAACGGCUUACCAAGGCAACGAUGCGUAGCCGACCUGAGAGGGUGAUCGGCCACACUGGAACUGAGACACGGUCCAGACUCCUACGGGAGGCAGCAGUAGGGAAUCUUCCGCAAUGGGCGAAAGCCUGACGCAGCAAUGCCGCGUGAGUGAUGAAGGUCUUCGGAUCGUAAAACUCUUUUAUUAGGGAAGAACAAAUGUGGAAGUAACUAUGGACGUCUUGACGGUACCUAAUCAGAAAGCCACGGCUAACUACGUG
rnacentral:rRNA from 1 species